rnacentral:rRNA from 1 species
GUGCUAAUACCGUAUAAUACCAACAACCGCAUGGUUGUUGGUUGAAAGAUGGUUCUGCUAUCACUAAGAGAUGGACCCGCGGUGCAUUAGCUAGUUGGUAAGGUAAUGGCUUACCAAGGCAAUGAUGCAUAGCCGAGUUGAGAGACUGAUCGGCCACAAUGGGACUGAGACACGGCCCAUACUCCUACGGGAGGCAGCAGUAGGGAAUCUUCCACAAUGGGCGCAAGCCUGAUGGAGCAACGCCGCGUGUGUGAUGAAGGGUUUCGGCUCGUAAAACACUGUUAUAAGAGAAGAACGGCACUGAGAGUAACUGUUCAGUGUGUGACGGUAUCUUACCAGAAAGGAACGGCUAAAUACGUGCCAGCAGCCGCGGUAAUACGUAUGUUCCAAGCGUUAUCCGGAUUUAUUGGGCGUAAAGCGAGCGCAGACGGUUAUUUAAGUCUGAAGUGAAAGCCCUCAGCUCAACUGAGGAAUUGCUUUGGAAACUGGAUGACUUGAGUGCAGUAGAGGAAAGUGGAACUCCAUGUGUAGCGGUGAAAUGCGUAGAUAUAUGGAAGAACACCAGUGGCGAAGGCGGCUUUCUGGACUGUAACUGACGUUGAGGCUCGAAAGUGUGGGUAGCAAACAGGAUUAGAUACCCUGGUAGUCCACACCGUAAACGAUGAGUGCUAGAUGUUCGAGGGUUUCCGCCCUUGAGUGUCGCAGCUAACGCAUUAAGCACUCCGCCUGGGGAGUACGACCGCAAGGUUGAAACUCAAAGGAAUUGACGGGGACCCGCACAAGCGGUGGAGCAUGUGGUUUAAUUCGAAGCAACGCGAAGAACCUUACCAGGUCUUGACAUCCCUUGACAACGCUAGAAAUAGCGCGUUCCCUUCGGGGACAAGGUGACAGGUGGUGCAUGGUUGUCGUCAGCUCGGGUCGGGAAAUGUUGGGUUAAGUCCCGCAACGACGCCACCCUUAUUAUUAGUUGCCAGCAUUCAUUGGGCACUC